UAUAAAAUUACAGUCAAUGAUAAAUUGAAGGAAGGUAAGAAUUAAGUCAAGUCACUGUGGCCCUUAUGGGUUGGGCUACACACGUGCUACAAUGAAAACAACAAAAAGUUACUAAAAUUUUAUAAAUUUUCGUUAAUCUUUAAAAAUUUUCUCAGUUCGAAUUAUAGGCUGAAACUCGCUUAUAUGAAGUUGGAAUCACUAGUAAUCGCAAAUCAGCACGUUGCGGUGAAUACGUAUCUUGGCCUUGUACACACCGCCCGUCACAU
rnacentral:rRNA from 1 species